rnacentral:lncRNA from 1 species
CGGGCGGAGGCGGUGCGCACAAGCGGGCGGCCGCGCAUGGCAGCGUGAUGUUCGGUGGCAGGAUGAAUCGGGAUAGAGAGAGGAGGAGUUUGCACUCAGGGUGGAUGGAAAGGAUACUCAGAGAGAGAGCGAGAAAUUGGGAGAAGAGAUUUGAGAAAUAAAGUACGGAGUAAAAGUAAUAAGAGAACGGGACAAAGAGAAAUAUAGAAAUAAGACAUCUGAAAAAAAAAG